GACACAGUGGCCGAGUGGUUAAGGCGUCAGACUUGAAGCGCCUCUUGAAAAAGAUUCAUCCAAGUAAAGAGGACGAGAUAUCUGAUUCCCUAGGGAUCGCAGGUUCGAAUCCUGUCUGUGUCG